rnacentral:lncRNA from 1 species
ACAGGGACCUGACGCAGUGGGGCUCAGGGAGGGCAGCCUGAGGAAGCCCCGUGGAGGAGCUGAAGGUGCCGUGAGGAGAACAGACUGGAGGAGUCCACAGUGGAGCUGCUGUGCCAGUGAGGACACUACUGCAGCCUUGGUUGGCAUUUACUGGACCCACGUGUUCCCGUGAAGAAAGUGGUUCCCACAAGUGUUAACGGAGCAGAAAAUUCCUCAGAGGUCGCACACAGAUGCUGCCUUUGGGUCUCUGCACUCUGUGAGCGGCUAUUUCCAGGUUGUUAAUCCUUGAAAUGACCUCGUGUUUUCUGAGGACAAAACUCUAGAAGUGAGCUCUGCUCAAAGGCCUGCAGCAACUGUCCGUGUUCCCCGUCCCCCGUCUGUCCGUCCGUCGUCGCUCACCCCCACCUCCCCGGCACGGCCUGUGAAUGCCGGGCUCUCGGGCAUCCUUGCCAACACCCGGUACUAUCAUUAAAAGAGAAAAUAAUAAUAAUGGCACCCUCCACUUCGCUAGUGUGAGCACAACCUCCGCGUGUUUUCUCCUGGGGUUGCACUUUUCCUGGUGAGCUUG